GACGAACGCUGGCGGCGUGCUUAACACAUGCAAGUCGAACGGAAAGGCCCUGCUUUUGUGGGGUGCUCGAGUGGCGAACGGGUGAGUAACACGUGAGUAACCUGCCCUUGACUUUGGGAUAACUCCAGGAAACUGGGGCUAAUACCGGAUAGGAGCUCCUGCUGCAUGGUGGGGUUGGAAAGUUUCGGCGGUUGGGGAUGGACUCGCGGCUUAUCAGCUUGUUGGUGGGGUAGUGGCUUACCAAGGCUUUGACGGGUAGCCGGCCUGAGAGGGUGACCGGCCACAUUGGGACUGAGAUACGGCCCAGACUCCUACGGGAGGCAGCAGUGGGGAAUAUUGCACAAUGGGCGGAAGCCUGAUGCAGCAACGCCGCGUGCGGGAUGACGGCCUUCGGGUUGUAAACCGCUUUCGCCUGUGACGAAGCGUGAGUGACGGUAAUGGGUAAAGAAGCACCGGCUAACUACGUG
rnacentral:rRNA from 1 species